CCUACGGGAGGCAGCAGUGGGGGAUAUUGCACAAUGGGGGAAACCCUGAUGCAGCGACGCCGCGUGGGCGAAGAAGUAUUUCGGUAUGUAAAGUCCUAUCAGCAGGGAAGAAGAAAUGACGGUACCUGAGUAAGAAGCACCGGCUAAAUACGUGCCAGCAGCCGCGGUAAUACGUAUGGUGCAAGCGUUAUCCGGAUUUACGGGGUGGAAAGGGAGCGCAGGCGGCACGGCAAGCCUGAUGUGAAAGCCCGCGGCCCAACCGCGGGACUGCAUUGGGAACUACCGGGCUGGAGUGCCGGAGAGGUAGGCGGAAUUCCUAGUGUAGCGGUGAAAUGCGUAGAUAUUAGGAGGAACACCAGUGGCGAAGGCGGCCUACUGGACGGUGACUGACGCUGAGGCUCGAAAGCGUGGGGAGCAAACAGGAUUAGAUACCCGGGUAGUC
rnacentral:rRNA from 1 species